rnacentral:rRNA from 1 species
AGAGACAGCAGUAGCCGCGGUAACACCGAGGGUGCGAGCGUUAAUCGGAUUUACUGGGCGUAAAGCGUGCGUAGGCGGCUUCUUAAGUCGGAUGUGAAAUCCCUGAGCUUAACUUAGGAAUUGCAUUCGAUACUGGGAAGCUAGAGUAUGGGAGAGGAUGGUAGAAUUCCAGGUGUAGCGGUGAAAUGCGUAGAGAUCUGGAGGAAUACCGAUGGCGAAGGCAGCCAUCUGGCCUAAUACUGACGCUGAGGUACGAAAGCAUGGGGAGCAAACAGGAUUAGAUACCCCAGUAGUCCCUGUCUCUUAUAC